GCCAUACUUGGUGACUAGAGCCAAGGUAGUUUAAUUGUCCUUUUGGAAAAAGCAAAGAGAUUGUCUACGUUAUAAUAUUCAACAUAACUGCUGCAGCAGCAACUCUAGCCUGGAGGUUGAAGCUCUCAUGCAUUUGAAUAAUUUCUGAUAAACAUGCAUGCAUUGAAGGGAAAGUACUGUAUAUCUCUGGGCCAGCUUUAAAUGGAAAAUAUAUGCAAGUGCAUUAAGUGUAGGCUCAGAUUACAUAUUUGCAAGUCCAUCUGACUACUUAAGCAUACAAGGGCUUGUCUAUACUCAUGUUUUUGGCUACUGGUGCAAACUCUUAGUGGAGACACAAUGCAAGAGCCAGUUUACACUAGUACCCAACAUUUACAUUAGGGGUUUGUAUCAGUGCAGCUAUAUGGGUGGCUAUAAACCCCAGUGCCCAUAAGCAAUUGCCACACGUGUAGAGAUACACAAUGCACAUGGGCACACUGGAUAUUUAAGCAUGCAUGAUACACAUGUGCAAACAAAGGAGUACAUCUAAUUGGAAAAUCUGGACCUGACUGGCGUUUAAUACCCAGACCUACUAAAGUUAGUAAAGUGAGCUAAUUGAACCCCAAGGACUAGAGAAGAAGCAAACAAGUAGAUGCUCACUAUCUACCAGGCUCCUCCAGGGCCCAAUUCAACUCCCACGGAAACUAAUAAGGUCUCUAGCAGGGUGGUUCCCCGCUCCUGCCCUGGGAGAGGGCUGGGGCUGUGGAGAAAAGCCCAGGCUGAUUAAGGGAACAGCUGCAGCUGUGGCCAGCUCAAUCAGGCCCAGCUGGCUCCUAUAAGAGGCUGUGAGCCAGGAGCCAUUAGUCAGUCUCCCUCUGCCUGUAGAGGGAGAAGGGCCUGGCUGCAAGGUGCCGAGCAGGACACCUAGAUUGGAGCAGGGCUAGGGAAGGACCAGAGGAGAGUUCCAGCCUAGAAAGCCUCAAGCUGCAGGCCUGACUACAGGCCGAAUAGGUGCAGAGUUGCAGAGGGGCAGCCCAUGGGUAGGCAGAGGCAGCAGGUCCAAACCUCCUUGCCUGUGAUGAGUGGAGUAUACACCACAGUCUUCCCCCCGAUACAAGGGGCUAAGUGGGGACUGGCAGCAGCCCAGACUGAGGCAAGGUGGGGAGACCCAGAACCUGAGAGUGUGGGGAUACUGCCAGGGAGGCAGCACCCCAGAGAAAGGGGCAUGGGGUCUUGGGAGGGGCCAGCGGUAAGGCAGAUCACUGGCCUGCAGAGGGUGCUCCAGUGGCUGGAUGAGCUAAUUCCUGAUGACUACCAGCAGGAAGCGCCACUGGGUGAGUCCGAACGUUUACACGGUCCUUUCACUAACUUUAAUUAAAAAGUUAUAUUGGAUCCUAGUACUCAAUACAAUACUACACUAGGGAAGCUGUCAUUGGUACAAUUAAAAUGUUUUCCAAAGUUGAAUCUCUACAUGGGAAUUUAUAGCAAGUGGUUAACUUUCAAUAAAUCACAAUUUUAUUUCUAGUUAUAUUACAGUGGUAUUCUCUGCAAUAAAUACCACAUUGCCUUUUAUGAAAUGAUGUGCCAUUUGGCCAUACCCAAGAUCUUUUCUGUGUGAGUGCACCUCUCUGUAAAAAUCCACAACUUUAUUUUCCUUUAAAUAUCUCUCCUCCUGUGAUGCCUAUAAAACACUCAAUGUUGACUAAACAGCUGAUGUGCUGCUCAGUAGACUAAUCAUAACUGUCUUACUAUUGUUGUGUGCGCCCUUAAACUGUUUGUCAUAGCCACUCACUUCUUGUUAUACACUUAUAGUAUGCCCUUUGGGGUAGGGAUGUACUUUCCAUUAUUUAUAUAUCGUAUCUAACACAACUGAACUCCAAUCCUGAUUGGGAAUUGUGAGGAGUAUGUGUCCCACACAGGUAAUGAUAGUAAACUGGAGACACACAGCGAUUAGUGCACUUGGUUGCACCUGGAAGAUGGGCCAGGCUCAAGUGAAGAUGAAGCACAGCUUGUGGUAAGCAUAAAGGGAGGAAGUCAAGAUGAGAAGGAGGCUGCAGGGAGAGAAGGGGGGGAGGGCGGGGAACCUCUACUGCUGUUCUCUGGCUGCUAGAGAGUGGAGGAAAGGCCUAGAGAAGCAGAUAUAUAGUAUGCUGGGGGGCUGUGAGAGGACCUGAAGGAAGGUCAAGGUACGAAGUCUAGUGAGGCAGCUGAGGGAGCAGAUCAUAGCUGCUUGCCAUAAGACCUCUAGACUGCAACCCAGAUGAGGUGGAGGGCCUGGGUUCCCCUACCAGUCCACCAGGAAACACCCUGACACAAAAGGGAGAACUAUUAUUUGUAGCCAAGCCUCCAGGAAGAAAGUCCUGGGACACAUUGCUCUGCACAAGAGUAGGACAACCUUGCAGAGCCUGGGAAGGGGUGAAGAGUUAUGUUUCUGUUUUUUGGAAUCUUUGCUUACCCUAGAAGGGGUGAAACUGAAGGUAACCAGGCCAGGGACCCAAGGGAGACCACCUCAGGGCCAGAGUGGCUAUCGACAAGGGACGCUAGAGGGGGAGAGCCUGCUAUGCCACGCCAGGCCCAGCCUCAAGGGAAUGCACCAGUGAGCACUAUUUAUCAAAGGAUCUCAAAGCACUUCACAGACAGGAGAAUAAUAAUCACCUGCCAUACGUGGAUGAACUGUUGACCAAGUGUGCUGCAAUACCAAGAAAUCAUAUAGUACAGGUAAAGUUCCAAGAUCCUUUGGCGGUUAAAUUGAGAUUGUUGGGAUACUGACACUACUUUAUAUGAUUUGUAUAUUUUCCAAUUUUAUACAAGUGUUAAUGAUCCUUCCGCCCCCCCUUAACAUGUCUUGCCACUAGAUUAUGAUUUAGCUGAAUUCCUGCAGGCUCAGAGAAGCUACUAGCAUGACUGCAGCAAAUGCAUACAGUGAGCACAGUAUAAAACACAGAUAUGGCUGCUUAAUGUAGGACAUGUUCACCCUUGUUUUUUAACGACCAUUUAAAACACACUCCUUCUGGAAGGGCAUCUAAAGAAAGUAUAACCACCUAAGUACACUGCAAAAGAUAAUCAUACCUGGGAAGUAUCUUUCUGGAACUUUGGAAAUGUAAAAGAGAAAAGCUACAGCAGCAAUCAAGUACAUCGCAAUUACUCGAGGAGCAAACUCCUGCAAAAGAAAAAUGAAGCUUUGCUUAGUAUUAGAACAUGAACAUCUACCUCAUAACCUUUGUCUAGCAAGUGCACUGUAUACUUUGCAAGGACAAAGCUUUAAUCUCAUUAUUUUAUUUACAUGAAUGUUGAACAGACUUCAAAUCUGUUAGAAGUAUCAAAACCUGAGACCGAAGAGGUUAAAGCUUAGCCCCAUCUUUGUGCUUGAAACCAACCCCACCUCCAUUUUCUCUGGGCAAAGGUGAAAGUCCACAAUAGGAGAUGCGUUGUUUUUUUUUUUUUUUUUUUUUUAAUACAUUCACACUGUGCCUAAGAACAGAUUUCCUUAGACCGGUCCCCAAAACUCUACACUGAAGCAUUUCCAUUAGUAAGAAUGCAUUUAAAACGCCUGACUAAUGAAAAAAGUUGGAUCAAUCAAUGCCUUGUAAGUUCCUUUUGGAGCUACGGACCUAGUAAAAGGUAGUGGGAGGGAAAAGGUUACUAAAUCAGCUUGGAAUCUUUGACCAUGUGAAGCAUAACUUACCACACAUGAUCUCACGAGGCUUCUAAACACCAGAUGGGAAAAGGGAUGAAACUGUUCAGUGGAAAGCAACCUAUACAUUAGUUUGGUUUUUUUAAGUCCCCAUUACCACAGUAUCUUGCUGCCAAAAACAAAGCUUUCUAUUUUUAGAUGUACAGGAACAAGAUCAGUAACAUGGACUUGUGCACAGAAGUACUUUGAAUACCCAGGCAAUACUACUUACUGCUAGUGAGUGUAUAGAAAAAAUACAGUUUUUAAAAUUUUUUUGAAGUACAGCCUAUUCUAAAGUCCAUUACGGUGCCAGUAUAAGAACCUGCACAGAUUAGCAUCAUGGUAGGUUCUCAUCUGUGUCUAGCUCAUUAUAUAACUACUACAACUCCUAUUUUACCAUAAGACUGGUAUAUAUUUCCCUCUUUCACCCUGCCAUGCUCCUUGCUUUUCAGGAUUAGGUAACCUUUACAACAGAUUACUUUCCUAGCUGGUGUAUAACUUAACAUUAGUAACUUCAUAAAAUAUGAAUAAUCGGUGGGUCACUUAAAAGGCAAAGUUACGUGUGUGUGUGUGUGUGUGUAUAUAUAUAUAUAUAUAUGGCUCAUUUCUGGCUUUGACACAAACUCCAAGUAAGGGGCUCUGCCCCAGAAGAAGACUAGAGUUAGAAUCUGGCCCCUACCUCCCCCACUUUAUUUCAGGGGGGGCGAAGGCAAUAGAGAAUCUGCACCAGUGCUCCCUGACGCAGACUACUACUUUCCACUACACUGAUCUGACUGCACACUGCACCCGUCUGGAGGCAGGCAAUACACUGACCCCACACGGGUUGUUGUGUCCCAGAGGUGUGUAUCUAGGGUCACAGUAGCUCCCUUUUUUUUUUUCCUCUCCUCUCCUCCCCCGCCCUUUCUCACAAGGCAGGUUUAAAUAGUAUGUUGUAAACCAGAUUUAAUUGCUGCAUCUUGUUUUUAGUUUCCCAUCCUGAGUUUAAUAUUUGAAGCUCUGCAUUAGGUAAAUCCAAUUAAAAGCUAUUCAUUUUUUAACCACUCUUAUAUUCCAAAAGUGGGGAGACAGCCAGAAAAGCAGAGGAACCGGGUCUGCUUCUCAGCUUACCUGCAC